CCAUUUCCCCUCCUUCCUCACCAUCAUACCAAGCCAACACAAAAGAGAUUAUGGCAGCAGCUAAUAAAAUCCUAACUAAUGUGUCAUUAAAUUGCUCCAAUAUGAGUUUAAAAAUGGAUGCACCCUCAUGUUUCUCCAAUUCAUUAUAUCCAAAUUUCUGCCGCCUCUUCUCAACUUCUGCAGCCGACAAUCCAAACUCAUGAUUCACUUGGUAGUGCUCUUCACAUUCUUUAAUAUCUUUCGACCAAGCAGGGAAAUAAUCUUCGUCCUGCGAUUCCAAACCAAUUUUCUCUCUUUGACCAUAGUCCUCCCCACCCUUCCCCAUCAAACUCAAUCCCAAUUAAACCAAUUCCCAAUCCUUCAAUAAUACAGGACCAGGCCUGAGACCUGCUACCAGUACCAGUGAUUUGUUUCNAAAAUCCAAAGAGGGGAAACUCUGUUAAAACUCUCACUCUCACCUGCUACCAGUACCAGUGAUUUGUUUCUUUUCUUCUUCUUCUCUG
rnacentral:misc_RNA from 1 species